CCUACGGUGCGCUGCAGUGGGGAAUAUUGGACAAUGGGCGAAAGCCUGAUCCAGCCAUGCCGCGUGUGUGAAGAAGGCCUUCGGGUUGUACAGCACUUUCAGUGGGGAAGAAAGCCUUGGGGCUAAUACCCUCGAGGAAGGACAUCACCCACAGAAGAAGCACCGGCUAACUCCGUGCCAGCAGCCGCGGUAAUACGGAGGGUGCGAGCGUUAAUCGGAAUUACUUGGCGUAAAGCGCGCGUAGGCGGUCUGAUAAGCCGGUUGUGAAAGCCCCGGGCUCAACCUGGGAACGGCAUCCGGAACUGUCAGGCUAGAGUGCAGGAGAGGAAGGUAGAAUUCCCGGUGUAGCGGUGAAAUGCGUAGAGAUCGGGAGGAAUACCAGUGGCGAAGGCGGCCUUCUGGACUGACACUGACGCUGAGGUGCGAAAGCGUGGGUAGCAAACAGGAUUAGAUACCCCAGUAGUC
rnacentral:rRNA from 1 species